rnacentral:lncRNA from 1 species
GAAAAGGUCAAUCGUAUCUCGUUGUUCAGUGAUCCGGGAGGUGGAAGGCUAUUGGUUCAGGGAGCCCGUCAGACCGGACUGGAGUGAGCCAUGAUUGGUCGACACAGGCGCAAUCAGAGUCAAGAAAACUUUGCUUUUGACUUAUUUACAGCUAGUCACAAUUGAGUGAAGUAUACUCCUGUAAACAAAUUUGGAUUUCUCUCUCUCAAUCUGAUUUCUCCAGAAUGUGGAAACUAUUUAAACAGACUGCAGAUUGAAUUCCUACAUAGGCUAUUCCAGAAUUCUUACGAGACUUGCAUUAGGACAUCAGCAACAGGUAUCAUCUAGUGAACUGUUCAGAUGCAACUGAAUUGAAAAGGAGCUGAACAAAAGAUCCUGAGAGAGACUUCAACAAAAAGUAAAAUGGAUUUUAUCAUACUUGAAAAAUCAACAAUUGCAGUCUGGAUUCAUACAUCACUGUCUGAUGCACCCAACUUGAGUCAAAAAGAUGUUUCAAAUCCCACUAGGCUGGAGGCAAAAAUACUCAAGAGUUUAAGAGCGUCUCUUGACAGUGUACAGAAUAAGAUAGCUUCUCAGCUUUCAGCUUUACUUCACGGUUUUAACUAUCAAAAGAAGCAAGCCAUCUGAAGAUUUGCCUGAGACUGAAGGAUCCACUUCUGCGACGACUCCCUCAGGACUUAUAAUGCAGAUGGAACCAGAUUGAGAAAAACCAGCCAACCAACCAACCAACAUGAUGGCUGAACCAGACAAGAGAAGUCCCGAAGUAAAAUACCCACCAAUUACCAGAAUCUGUGCCUGCCAUACAUCGAAGAAAAUUCAACAGCAAUACAAAUUAACCUUUGGAAAAUCUUUCCUGGGUUUUAUGUUUGUGUGAAAUGCCCCUUUACUAAACUGGAAGAUGUGUAAGAUGGAAGAAGAGGUUCUGCUGGAUAUGGAGAAAUUGGAACCCUUGUACAUGUGGAAAUGUAAAAUGGUGCAUUAGGAAAACAGUUUCAACGGUCCUCAAAGUGGUAAACAUAGAGUUACCAUAUGACUGAGAAAUUUUACUCCCAGGUAUAUACCCAAGAUAAAUAAAAACAUGUUCAUAUAAAACUCA